rnacentral:lncRNA from 1 species
CGAUGGACAGCUUCACCCUCCCAAUCAAAGAGUUAUUGCAAGAUGAAAACCUCACUAAGGACAAUAGUGUUAGCUGCUGCACAAGCAAUAGAAGCAACAUCACCAUAGACAUCAUCAACAACAAAAACAACAACAUAGAGAGCAACAAUAUAGGAACAAAGGGUGAAGGUAAUAAAAAGACCAAACAUGUUUUUUCAUUGUUUGGUUUAACAAAAGGACCAAAAGGGUAUGAAGAUAAAGAUAAGGUAGAUAAGGAGAACAACAAAAAGAAGCUCAAGUUUGAUAUGAUUCAUACACUAAAAAAGUACUUAAGAAUUGUGCUUUUCAAAGGGGCAAGAGAAAAAGUUAGACUCCAUAGACAAUCACAAUCUUAUUCUUAUUCAGGGAAUGUAACUCCAAGGAAUAAACAAGAUUUGAGAGGUUGGAGGGGGAAAUUUUCAGCACCAGCAUCAAUGAGAACUUCUCCUACAAACAGUGGACUUUUGCUUGCAACUUCAGGUAUUCCUUCUGCUAGUGAUAGUACCAUGGAAGAGUUGCAGGCUGCUAUUCAAGCUGCAAUUACUCACUGCAAAAAUUCAAUUGCAAAAGAAGAAAAGCUCAAAUGCUAAUAUAUAGUUGUCAGGUUCGCAAUACUCUUAGUUACUGGUUAUGCAAUUCAUUACAUUUUACCACAUAGCGAUAAGUGCUUUUUACAUUGUCGAAUAUCAUAAAUUGGUUCAUGAUGCACGAUAUAGCUACGAGGGACGCUAUUCGUUUGGUACACGGUUCAUAAUGGUGUACUUUAUUAUCAUAAAAUUUUCUUUAAGAUGAACUCGAUAUAUAGUAUGCGAAAUAGAAAUUUCCUUAUGCAAUACAAAUUAUUAGUAAGUGUAAUUGUGUACAAGAAUUGAUUUAUAAUUAUGUACAUAGAAUUGAUAUGUGGUUCAAAGGGUUGCAGGGGAAUCUAGCAACAAUGUUAUGAUACAGUGAUAAGAGAUAAGAAAAUUCUUUGUCCUAUUUCCUAUCAUUGAUUUCAUAUGUAGUAUUUAGUAAUUGGAUUCUUAAUAAUGUACUAUUCUACUAGAUUCAAAUAAUAUGUACAAGUGGAAAUAAUAUAUAGAAGAAAUUAAUAAUUCAUGUCUUGUUGUAGUCCAACUUGUGUAGCAUCUCAUGAAUUUCUAAAAUCUUAUGUAUCCAUUUGGAUCAGUGAUAGAAGAAUUGCUACCAAUCCAGAAUAUACAUAUACGUUACAAGAAACUAUGUGUUGUUUUCUAUAAAACAAAGUUUUAAAAAAUUAGUGCUGAUUCUAUAUAUGUGGGAGUUCUAACAUGAAUAAGCUCAUAGCAGCAGUCAAAAAAAUUAUCUCAAGUGUGUUUGCGAGUUGAAUUUUGGAGAGAAAGGAAAGGGAAAACUCAGAGUUAUCUCACAAGUGUAUUCCAUGGUCCUAAAUCCUUUCCCUUUUUUUGCUUCUACUCCAAAACUAAACUCGCAAACAUUGUUAUAUAUCUUUACAUUCAUAACUACCUAAGAGUUUGUAAGGGCA